GACGAACGCUGGCGGCGUGCUUAACACAUGCAAGUCGAACGGAAAGGCCCUGCUUUUGUGGGGUGCUCGAGUGGCGAACGGGUGAGUAACACGUGAGUAACCUUCCCUUGACUUUCGGAUAACUUCAGGAAAAUGGGGCUAAAACCGGAUAGGAGCUCCUGCUGCAUGGUGGGGGUUGGAAAGUUUCGGCGGUUGGGGAUGGACUCGCGGCUUAUCAGCUUGUUGGUGGGGUAGUGGCUUACCAAGGCUUUGACGGGUAGCCGGCCUGAGAGGGUGACCGGCCACAUUGGGACUGAGAUACGGCCCAGACUCCUACGGGAGGCAGCAGUGGGGAAUAUUGCACAAUGGGCGGAAGCCUGAUGCAGCAACGCCGCGUGCGGGAUGACGGCCUUCGGGUUGUAAACCGCAUUCGCCUGUGACGAAGCGUGAGUGACGGUAAUGGGUAAAGAAGCACCGGCUAACUACGUG
rnacentral:rRNA from 1 species